GAUGAAGAACGUAGCGAAAUGCGAUAAGUAAUGCGAAUUGCAGAAUUUCCGUGAGUCAUCGAAUCUUUGAACGCACAUUGCGCCCGUCAGUAUUCUGACGGACAUGCCUGUCCGAGCGUCAUUUCAACCCUCAAGCACUGCUUGGCGUUGGCGGAUUGCGUGCCCUCGCGGCGCUGCAACCGCCCAAAUACAGUGGCGGUCCCGCUGCGGCUCCCUUUGCGUAGUAACUCACCUCGCACUGGACCGGGCGGCGGCCUGCCGUAAAACCCCAACUCACGAAAUGUUGACCUCGGAUCAGGUAGGAAUACCCGCUGAACUUAAGCAUAUCAAUAAGCGGAGGA
rnacentral:misc_RNA from 1 species